rnacentral:sRNA from 1 species
AAGAGAAUUGGGUGGACAGCAGGACCAUCUACGUGGGACACAGGGAGCCACCUCCGGGCGCAGAGGCCUACAUCCCACAGAGAUACCCAGACAACAGGAUCGUCUCGUCCAAGUACACAUUUUGGAACUUUAUACCCAAGAAUUUAUUUGAACAAUUCAGAAGAGUAGCCAACUUUUAUUUCCUUAUCAUAUUUCUGGUGCAGUUGAUUAUUGAUACACCCACAAGUCCAGUGACAAGCGGACUUCCACUCUUCUUUGUCAUUACCGUGACGGCUAUCAAACAGGGUUAUGAAGACUGGCUUCGACAUAAAGCGGACAAUGCCAUGAACCAGUGUCCUGUUCAUUUCAUUCAGCACGGCAAGCUUGUUCGGAAACAAAGUCGAAAGCUGCGAGUUGGGGACAUUGUCAUGGUCAAGGAGGACGAGACCUUUCCCUGCGACUUGAUCUUCCUUUCCAGCAACCGGGGAGAUGGAACGUGCCACGUCACCACCGCCAGCUUGGAUGGAGAAUCCAGCCAUAAAACACAUUACGCGGUCCAGGACACCAAAGGCUUCCACACGGAGGAGGAUAUCGGCGGACUUCACGCCACCAUCGAGUGUGAGCAGCCCCAGCCCGACCUCUACAAGUUUGUGGGUCGCAUCAACGUUUACAGUGACCUGAAUGACCCCGUGGUGAGGCCCUUAGGAUCGGAAAACUUGCUGCUUAGAGGAGCUACACUGAAGAACACUGAGAAAAUCUUUGGUGUGGCUAUUUACACGGGCAUGGAAACCAAGAUGGCAUUAAAUUAUCAAGCAAAGUCUCAGAAGCGAUCUGCCGUGGAAAAAUCGAUGAAUGCGUUCCUCGUUGUGUAUCUCUGCAUUCUGAUCAGCAAAGCCCUGAUAAACACUGUGCUGAAAUACGUGUGGCAGAGUGAGCCCUUUCGGGAUGAGCCGUGGUAUAAUCAGAAAACGGAGUCGGAAAGGCAGAGGAAUCUGUUCCUCAAGGCGUUCACGGACUUCCUGGCCUUCAUGGUCCUCUUUAACUACAUCAUCCCCGUGUCCAUGUACGUCACGGUCGAGAUGCAGAAGUUCCUCGGCUCUUACUUCAUCACCUGGGACGAAGACAUGUUUGACGAGGAGACUGGUGAGGGGCCUCUGGUGAACACGUCGGACCUCAAUGAAGAGCUGGGACAGGUGGAGUACAUCUUCACAGACAAGACCGGCACCCUCACGGAAAACAACAUGGAGUUCAAGGAGUGCUGCAUCGAAGGCCACGUCUACGUGCCCCACGUCAUCUGCAACGGGCAGGUCCUCCCAGAGUCCUCAGGAAUCGACAUGAUUGACUCGUCCCCCAGCGUCAACGGGAGGGAGCGCGAGGAGCUGUUUUUCCGGGCCCUCUGUCUCUGCCACACCGUCCAGGUGAAAGACGAUGACAACGUAGAUGGCCCCAGGAAAUCGCCGGACGGGGGGAAAUCCUGUGUGUACAUCUCAUCCUCGCCCGACGAGGUGGCGCUGGUCGAAGGUGUCCAGAGACUUGGCUUUACCUACCUGAGGCUGAAAGACAAUUACAUGGAGAUAUUAAACAGGGAGAACCACAUCGAAAGGUUCGAAUUGCUGGAAAUUUUGAGUUUUGACUCAGUUAGAAGGAGAAUGAGUGUAAUUGUAAAAUCUGCUACAGGAGAAAUUUAUCUGUUUUGCAAAGGAGCAGAUUCUUCGAUAUUCCCCCGAGUGAUAGAAGGCAAAAUUGACCAGAUCCGAGCCAGAGUGGAGCGUAACGCAGUGGAGGGGCUCCGAACUUUGUGUGUUGCUUAUAAAAGGCUGAUCCAAGAAGAAUAUGAAGGCAUUUGUAAACUGCUGCAGGCUGCCAAAGUGGCCCUUCAAGAUCGAGAGAAAAAGUUAGCAGAAGCCUAUGAGCAAAUAGAGAAAGAUCUUACUCUGCUUGGUGCUACGGCUGUUGAGGACCGGUUGCAGGAGAAAGCUGCGGACACCAUCGAGGCCCUGCAGAAGGCCGGGAUCAAGGUCUGGGUUCUCACGGGAGACAAGAUGGAAACGGCCGCGGCCACGUGCUACGCCUGCAAGCUCUUCCGCAGGAACACGCAGCUGCUGGAGCUGACCACUAAGAGGAUCGAGGAGCAGAGCCUGCACGAUAUCCUGUUCGAGCUGAGCAAGACGGUCCUGCGCCACAGCGGGAGCCUGACCAGAGACAACUUCUCCGGACUUUCAGCAGAUAUGCAGGACUACGGUUUAAUUAUCGAUGGAGCUGCACUGUCUCUGAUAAUGAAGCCUCGAGAAGAUGGGAGUUCCGGCAACUACAGGGAGCUCUUCCUGGAAAUCUGCCGGAGCUGCAGCGCGGUGCUCUGCUGCCGCAUGGCGCCCUUGCAGAAGGCUCAGAUUGUUAAAUUAAUCAAAUUUUCAAAAGAGCACCCAAUCACGUUAGCAAUUGGCGACGGUGCAAAUGAUGUCAGCAUGAUUCUGGAAGCGCACGUGGGCAUAGGUGAGCUUCGUCCUUGCUGCUGGCACAUCCUGGUGGCCAGGUCACCCCUCUGCUAGACAAAGGCCCAUGGCAGCACGCAGGUGCAUUGAGGACACCCCCGUCACCACCCUCGUGUGUGACCGGGAAGGCUCAUGAUGAUGGUUUCAUCCGUUCUUCUCCCUGUCCCUGCCCUGUGUGUGGUGUGCAGAAAGCGUUUCUUCAGCUCCUUCACCUCCAUCUUCUAGGUGUCAUCGGCAAGGAAGGCCGCCAGGCUGCCAGGAACAGCGACUAUGCAAUCCCAAAGUUUAAGCAUUUGAAGAAGAUGCUGCUUGUUCACGGGCAUUUUUAUUACAUUAGGAUAUCUGAGCUCGUGCAGUACUUCUUUUAUAAGGUAGGAGGAUCGCCGCUCCCCCUCACGGUUUCAGCAGCAGAUCAUGCACAGGGUGGCAUGACCCUUGUCUGAGCCACUUGAUGCCACAAGAGGUCAUUGAUUCCAAGUAGCAGCAACUGUCAGAAAGGAAGGGUUGAAUCUGAUUGCAGUCAUCUCCUGCUUAGCUGUGGCUUCGCUUUUUACAGUUUCCAUUACCUACAGUCAACCCAUGCCCAAAAAUAUCAAAUGGAAAACUGCAGAAAUAAACAGUUCCUAAGUUUUAAAUUGCAUGCCAUUCUGAGCAGCGUGAUGAAGUCUCAUGCCGUCCUGCUGUCUCCUUCCUGGGAUGUGGCUUGUCCCUUUGUCCAGUGUGCCAAUGCUGUGUGUACACUACCUGCCCCUCAGUCACUCUGUAGCUGUCUUGGUGACGAGGUUGACAGAUCACAAGAAGAAGGGGGAAUAGGACACAAUAAUAUAUUUUAAGAGGAGGAGGGAGAGACCAAAUUCAUGUAACUUUGAUUAUGGUAUAUUAUUAUAGUUAUUCUAUGUUUUGUUGUUACUCUCUUACUGCACCUACUUUAUAAAUUAAACUUUAUCGUGGGUGUGUAUGUGUAGGAACACACAUACCCAUCUACAGCGUAGACAGGGUUCAGGCCCAUCCGCAGAUUGUGCAUCCCCCUCAGGGUCUGGGAAUGUACCCCUGAGGAUGAGGAGGGCCUGUCGUGCCGCAGGAGGAGACCCCUACCCCCAAGGUUGAGGAGGGCCUGCUGUGCCACGGGAGGAGACCCCCAGCCCUUUUCUCCCCUCCACAGAAUUGAGUGUGGAACCAGUGAGAACCUUUCAGGUGGAAAUGUUUGAGGAAGGGUAUUUUAGAAUUCCUUAUUCACUGUGCAAGUUCGAUUCUUUCCCGUUUAUACUGAUACCUGCAUUGCCUGCUUGUUUCUCUUGGAGCUGACAAAUUUCCCCUAUAUGUUGUCUGUCCUGAGUGGCCAAAAUGUGGUCACAUGUGCAUUUCAGUUGCCCCUGAAAUAAGAGAAAGCUUUCUAGAACCCAUUAGUGCUGUUCUGCCGCACGCUGGGCGCACGUGGAUCCCUCCUCCCGUGUGGGGCGGGCCACGUUGGUAGGUGGCGGCUGCCUCCCUCUGUCCCGUCACCAAACUAACGGUUCUGCCUUGCCUUUCAGAACGUCUGCUUCAUCUUCCCUCAGUUUUUAUACCAGUUCUUCUGUGGGUUUUCACAACAGACUUUGUACGAUACCGCGUAUCUGACCCUCUACAACAUCAGCUUCACCUCCCUCCCCAUCCUCCUGUACAGCCUCAUGGAGCAGCAUGUUGGCAUCGACGUGCUCAAGAGAGACCCGACCCUGUACAGGUACCAUCCUCCAAACAGCCUCUCCUGAGAGCAGAGAGAAUAACUAGGCAGCACUCUGGCAGUUCCUUCCAAUAGCCACCUGGCAGACCCCAGUUAAGGGCCAGAAGCAUUCGGCAUCUGCUGAUGCUCUUGCUUGGUCAGGAGCUUGUUGAAACUGGAAGCAACAUAGCUCAAAUGGAGAUUCUUCAAGUCUUGCUGGAUGGUUUACGCUGCAUUUGGAAUGUCUGUGUGGAGCCAGUUUGCACUUUCCUGUGCUUUCUGACAGUCCUGAGGGAGCCGGGGUACAAGCGUCUUCCUCGUUGUGACCCUAGGGAAUCUGUGGCCUAAGUUAUCCUUUAAAACCGUGUGUGUUCCAUUCAGUGAGAAAAAACAAAAAUUAACAGC